rnacentral:rRNA from 1 species
UACGUAGGGGGCAAGCGUUGUCCGGAAUCAUUGGGCGUAAAGCGCGUGUAGGCGGCUUGGUAAGUCCGCUCUGAAAGCCCGGGGCUCAACCCCGGGAGGCGGGUGGAUACUGUCAAGCUCGAGUCCGGAAGAGGCGAGUGGAAUUCCUGGUGUAGCGGUGAAAUGCGCAGAUAUCUGGAGGAACACCGGUGGCGAAGGCGGCAUCCUGGACCGGCAUUGACGCUGAGGCGCGAAAGCCAGGGGAGCAAACGGG